AUUGAACGCUAGCGGGAUGCUUUACACAUGCAAGUCGAACGAGUGGCGGACGUGUGAGUAAUAUAUCGGAACGUGCCCAGUAGCGGGGGAUCACUACUCGAUAGAGUGGCUAAUACCGCAUACGAUGGGAGCGGCCGUUAUCGGAUUGGCGAGUUCGUGGGGUAAAGGCUCAGCAAGGCAACGAUCCGUAGCUGGUUUGAGAGGACGACCAGCCAACCUGGGACUGAGACACGGCCCAGACCCCUACGGGAGGCACCAGUGGGGAAUUUUGGACAAUUGGGGAAACCCUGAUCCAGCCCACCCGCGUGUAUGAGAAGGCCUUCGGGUUGUAAAGUACUUUUGGCAGUGAAGCGGUAUCUGCAGAAUAAGCACCGGCUAACUACGUGCCAGCCGCCGCGGUAAUAC
rnacentral:rRNA from 1 species